rnacentral:rRNA from 1 species
GACGAACGCUGGCGGCGUGCCUAAUACAUGCAAGUCGAGCGAACACAAGAGGAGCUUGCUCCUCUUGGUUAGCGGCGGACGGGUGAGUAACACGUGGGCAACCUGCCUGUAAGACUGGGAUAACUUCGGGAAACCGGAGCUAAUACCGGAUAAUCCUUUUCCUCUCAUGAGGAAAAGCUGAAAGUCGGUUUUUCGCUGACACUUACAGAUGGGCCCGCGGCGCAUUAGCAGUUGGUGAGGUAACGGCUCACCAAGGCAACGAUGCGUAGCCGACCUGAGAGGGUGAUCGGCCACACUGGGACUGAGACACGGCCCAGACUCCUACGGAGGCAGCAGUAGGGAAUAUUGCGCAAUGGGCGAAAGCCUGACGCAGCGACGCCGCGUGAGGGAUGACGGCCU